rnacentral:rRNA from 1 species
CCUACGGGUGGCAGCAGUGAGGAAUAUUGGUCAAUGGGAGAGAUCCUGAACCAGCCAAGCCGCGGGAGGGAAGACGGCCCUAUGGGUUGUAAACCUCUUUUGUCGGAGAACAAAACCCGGGACGUGUCCCGGACUGCGUGUAUCCGAAGAAAAAGCAUCGGCUAACUCAGUGCCAGCAGCCGCGGGAAUACUGAGGAUGAAAGCGUUAUCCGGAUUUAUUGGGUUUAAAGUGUGCGUAGGCGGUCGGAUAAGUUAGAAGUGAAAGCCCGAGGCUCAACUUCGGAAUUGCCUCUGAUACUGUUCGGCUAGAGAGUAGUUGCGGUAGGAGGAAUGUAUGGUGUAGCGGUGACAUGCUUAGAGAUCAUACAGAACACCGAUUGCGAAGGCAGCUUACCAAGCUACUUCUGACGUUGAGGCACGAAAGCGUGGGGAGCAAACAGGAUUAGAUACCCUGGUAGUC